UACGGAGGGUGCGAGCGUUGUCCGGAAUCACUGGGCGUAAAGGGCGCGUAGGCGGCUCAUGAAGGCUGUGGUGAAAGUCCGGGGCUCAACCUCGGAUCGGCCGUGGCGACUCGUGGGCUGGAGCACUGUAGAGGCGGGUGGAAUUCCGGGUGUAGCGGUGGAAUGCGUAGAGAUCCGGAAGAACACCAACGGCGUAGGCAGCGCCCUAGACGAGACCUGACGCUCAGGCACGAAAGCGCGGGGAGCGAACAGG
rnacentral:rRNA from 1 species